ACCCGCCAGGUGACGAACAGAAACCCGAUACGAGGCCGACGACUCGAGGUGAGUGGGCUGCUGACCACGAAACCAAACCGGAAGAACGGGCGCAGGUAGAUCGGGCACUUGGGCGGGGACA
rnacentral:autocatalytically_spliced_intron from 1 species